rnacentral:rRNA from 1 species
AUUGAACGCUGGCGGCAGGCCUAAUACAUGCAAGUCGAACGAGUGGCGGACGGGUGAGUCAUGUCUGGGCAACUGCCUGAUGGAGGGGGAAAACUACUGGAAACGGUAGCUAAUACCGCAUACCAUAGGAUGUGCCAAGAUGGGUUUAGCUAGGAGGUGGGGUAAAGGCUCACCAAGGCGACGAUCACUAGCUGGUCUGAGAGGAUGACCGGCCACACUGGAACUGAGACACGGUCCAGACUCCUACGGGAGGCAGCAGUGGGGAAUAUUCCGCAAUGGACGAAAGCCUGACGCAGCAAUGCCGCGUGAAUGAAGAAGGCCGUCGGGUUGUAAAGCUCUUUCAGCGGGGAAGCGUUACCUACCGAGAAAGCACCGGCUAACUCCGUGCCAGCAGCCGCGGUAAUUC